rnacentral:rRNA from 1 species
GUGUAGCAAUACAUGCUGACGAGCGGCGAACGGGUGAGUAAUGCCUCGGAAUCUGCCCAAUGGUGGGGAAUAACCAGCCGAAAGGUUGGCUAAUACCGCAUAAGUCCUACGGGGGAAAGCAGGGGAUCGCAAGACCUUGCGCCGAUGGAUGAGCCGAAGUCGGAUUAGCUAGUUGGUAGGGUAACGGCCUACCAAGGCGACGAUCCGUAGCCGGUCUGAGAGGACGACCAGCCACACUGGGACUGAGACACGGCCCAGACUCCUACGGGAGGCAGCAGUGGGGAAUAUUGGACAAUGGGGGAAACCCUGAUCCAGCGACGCCGCGUGUGUGAAGAAGGCCUGCGGGUUGUAAAGCACUUUUAGUGGGGAUGAAAAGCUCAGGGCUAACACCUCUGGGUCUUGACCUAACCCACAGAAAAAGCACCGGCUAACUCAGUGCCAGCAGCCGCGGUAAUACAGAGGGUGCGAGCGUUAAUCGGAAUUACUGGGCGUAAAGCGUGCGUAGACGGUUAUGUAAGUCGGGUGUGA